rnacentral:rRNA from 1 species
UACGUAGGGGGCUAGCGUUGUCCGGAUUUAUUGGGCGUAAAGAGCGUGUAGGCGGCCAUGUAGGUCCGGUGUGAAAACUCGAGGCUUAACCUCGAGAUGUCAUCGGAAACCAUUUGGCUAGAGUCCGGAAGAGGAGAGUGGAAUUCCUGGUGUAGCGGUGAAAUACGCAGAUAUCAGGAAGAACACCAAUGGCGAAAGCAGCUCUCUGGGACGGUACUGACGCUGAGACGCGAAAGCGUGGGGAGCGAACAGG